GGGNNCUACUGAGCGNUCGCUCAUCAACCCUGUGAACAUACCUAUAACGUUGCCUCGGCGGGAACAGACGGCCCCGUAACACGGGCCGCCCCCGCCAGAGGACCCCCUAACUCUGUUUCUAUAAUGUUUCUUCUGAGUAAACAAGCAAAUAAAUUAAAACUUUCAACAACGGAUCUCUUGGCUCUGGCAUCGAUGAAGAACGCAGCGAAAUGCGAUAAGUAAUGUGAAUUGCAGAAUUCAGUGAAUCAUCGAAUCUUUGAACGCACAUUGCGCCCGCCAGUAUUCUGGCGGGCAUGCCUGUUCGAGCGUCAUUACAACCCUCAGGCCCCCGGGCCUGGCGUUGGGGAUCGGCGGAAGCCCCCUGCGGGCACAACGCCGUCCCCCAAAUACAGUGGCGGUCCCGCCGCAGCUUCCAUUGCGUAGUAGCUAACACCUCGCAACUGGAGAGCGGCGCGGCCACGCCGUAAAACACCCAACUUCUGAAUGUUGACCUCGAAUCAGGUAGGAAUACCCGCUGAACUUAAGCAUAUCAAAAGCCGAGAGGAAA
rnacentral:rRNA from 1 species